CAUCCUCCAAGGCUAAAUACUCCUGACUGACCGAUAGUGAACCAGUACCGUGAGGGAAAGGCGAAAAGAACCCCGGCGAGGGGAGUGAAAAAGAACCUGAAACCGUGUACGUACAAGCAGUGGGAGCACAGGUUUACCUGUGUGACUGCGUACCUUUUGUAUAAUGGGUCAGCGACUUAUAUUCUGUAGCAAGGUUAACCGAAUAGGGGAGCCGUAGGGAAACCGAGUCUUAACCGGGCGUUAAGUUGCAGGGUAUAGACCCGAAACC
rnacentral:rRNA from 1 species